rnacentral:rRNA from 1 species
GACGAACGCUGGCGGCGUGCUUAACACAUGCAAGUCGAACGGAAAGGCCCUGCUUUUGUGGGGUGCUCGAGUGGCGAACGGGUGAGUAACACGUGAGUAACAUGCCCUUGACUUUGGGAUAACUUCAGGAAAAUGGGGCUAAUACCGGAUAGGAGCUCCUGCUGCAUGGUGGGGGUUGGAAAGUUUCGGCGGUUGGGGAUGGACUCGCGGCUUAUCAGCUUGUUGGUGGGGUAGUGGCUUACCAAGGCUUUGACGGGUAGCCGGCCUGAGAGGGGGACCGGACACACUGGCACUGAGACACGGGCAAGAGGCAUACGGGAGGGAGCAGUAGGGAAGGUUACGCAAUGGGCGAAGGCCUGACGGAGGAACGCCGCGUGAGUGAUGCAGGUCUUAGGAGAGUAAGCGUGUGUUAUUAGGGAAGAAAAAAUGUGUAAGUAAAUAUGCACGUCUUGAAGGUAGCUAAUCAGAAAGAGACGAGUAGCUACGUG